CAGUAGCCGCGGUAAUACGUAGGUGGCAAGCGUUGUCCGGAAUUAUUGGGCGUAAAGGGCUCGCAGGCGGUUUCUUAAGUCUGAUGUGAAAGCCCCCGGCUCAACCGGGGAGGGUCAUUGGAAACUGGGAAACUUGAGUGCAGAAGAGGAGAGUGGAAUUCCACGUGUAUCGGUGAAAUGCGUAGAGAUGUGGAGGAACACCAGUGGCGAAGGCGACUCUCUGGUCUGUAACUGACGCUGAGGAGCGAAAGCGUGGGGAGCGAACAGGAUUAGAUACCCGUGUAGUCCCUGUCUCUUAUAC
rnacentral:rRNA from 1 species